UCUGGUGCGAACAGAGAGCAAGCGAGAGAACACGAUCGACGCUGCAGCGAUAGGAGCUGAUUUAGAAGGUAAUGCUUCAUAAUGGAAUACUUCAAAUGAGAUUUUAAGUAUUCUAAGACUAGGAGCUAGCUCAUCUGAGAAGAACAGAGGAAAGGAGCAUUAGGCCAAGUGAUAAUAAUCACUUCUGUAGGCCUCUCUCCUUUUAUUUGAUAUGUGUAUUUAGUUUAUGAUAUUGCCACCUAGGAUAAUAUAUUCUUGAUCCACUUGCAUUAUGGGUUUUGUGUUGGGAAAAAUGUAUUUUGGGCCCUGAGGAA